rnacentral:rRNA from 1 species
UACGUAGGGGGCAAGCGUUGUCCGGAUUUAUUGGGCGUAAAGAGCGUGUAGGCGGCCAUACAGGUCAGCUGUGAAAACUCGAGGCUCAACCUCGAGACGUCGGUUGAAACCGUAUGGCUAGAGUCCGGAAGAGGAGAGUGGAAUUCCCGGUGUAGCGGUGAAAUGCGCAGAUAUCGGGAGGAACACCGGUGGCGAAGGCGGAUCUCUGGGCCAUUACUGACGCUGAGGAGCGAAAGCGUGGGGAGCGAACAGG